rnacentral:rRNA from 1 species
UACGAAGGGGGCUAGCGUUGUUCGGAAUUACUGGGCGUAAAGCGCACGUAGGCGGGUUGUUAAGUCAGGGGGUGAAAAUCCCCGGAGCUCAACUCCGGAACUGCCUUUGAUACUGGCAAUCUAGAGACUGGAAGAGGUUAGUGGAAUUCCCAGUGUAGAGGUGAAAUGCGCAGAUAUCGGGAGGAACACCAAUGGCGAAGGCAGCUUGCUGGGACGGUACUGACGCUGAGGCGCGAAAGCGUGGGGAGCAAACAGG